rnacentral:rRNA from 1 species
AUUCCCUACUCCUACGGGAGGCAGCAGUAGGGAAUCUUCCGCAAUGGACGAAAGUCUGACGGAGCAACGCCGCGUGAGUGAUGAAGGUUUUCGGAUCGUAAAACUCUGUUGUUAGGGAAGAACAAGUACCGUUCGAAUAGGGCGGUACCUUGACGGUACCUAACCAGAAAGCCACGGCUAACUACGUGCCAGCAGCCGCGGUAAUACGUAGGUGGCAAGCGUUGUCCGGAAUUAUUGGGCGUAAAGCGCGCGCAGGCGGUUUCUUAAGUCUGAUGUGAAAGCCCCCGGCUCAACCGGGGAGGGUCAUUGGAAACUGGGGAACUUGAGUGCAGAAGAGGAGAGUGGAAUUCCACGUGUAGCGGUGAAAUGCGUAGAGAUGUGGAGGAACACCAGUGGCGAAGGCGACUCUCUGGUCUGUAACUGACGCUGAGGCGCGAAAGCGUGGGGAGCGAACAGGAUUAGAUACCCGGGUAGUCC